GAUGAAGAACGCAGCGAAAUGCGAUAAGUAAUGUGAAUUGCAGAAUUCAGUGAAUCAUCGAAUCUUUGAACGCACAUUGCGCCCCUUGGUAUUCCGAGGGGCAUGCAUGUUCGAGCGUCAUUAUAACCCCUCAAGCUCAGCUUGGUGUUGGGGCCUGCUGCACUGGCAGCCCUUAAAAUCAGUGGCGGCGCCAUCUGGCUCUAAGCGUAGUAAUUCUUCUCGCUAUGGAGUCCUGGUGGAUGCUUGCCAUCAACCCCCAAUUUUUCUAUGGUUGACCUCGGAUCAGGUAGGGAUACCCGCUGAACUUAAGCAUAUCAAUAAGCGGAGGA
rnacentral:misc_RNA from 1 species